rnacentral:rRNA from 1 species
AAUGAACGCUGGCGGCAGGCCUAACACAUGCAAGUCGAGCGAGCGGCGGACGGGUGAGUAAUGUAUGGGGACUGCCCGAUAGAGGGGGAUAACUACUGGAAACGGUGGCUAAUACCGCAUACUAACGGAUAACCCAUAUGGGAUUAGCUAGUGGGGGGGGUAAAGGCUCACCUAGGCGACGAUCUCUAGCUGGUCUGAGAGGGUGAUCAGCCACACUGGGACUGAGACACGGCCCAGACUCCGACGGAGGCAGCAGUGGGGAAUAUUGCACAAUGGGCGCAAGCCUGAUGCAGCAAGGCCGCGUGUAUGAAGAAGGCCUUAGGGUUGUAAAGUACUGUCAGCGGGGAGGCGUUACCCGAAGAGGAAGCACCGGCUAACUCCGUGCCAGCAGCCGCGGUAAUUC